CUUAAACCAACCAAUCAUUGUGCUCUGAGCCUAAUUGCAGGGCAUGGUAAGGCUUUAUAAGCCUUGAACCGCCCUGCGGAGCUCAGUAUGUGGCGUGCCCUCGAAGGUUGAAGGAUUAAUUUUUUUUUGCGCUUUUUUUUUUUUUUCUCAAAAGUGCGACGGUUAUAUUGGCUUAUUAUUUGGCCUUUCUUGGGGCUGAAGAAAGAAGAUUUUAGAAAAAAGAAGACAUUUAUAGGUAAG